AUCUAAUUGACAAGUCUCAGAUAGGACGAUAUGCGCGUCCUGGAU
rfam:Schistosoma margrebowiei strain Zambia genome assembly, scaffold: SMRZ_scaffold0001336